rnacentral:rRNA from 1 species
GACGAACGCUGGCGGCGUGCUUAACACAUGCAAGUCGAACGGAAAGGCCCUGCUUGCAGGGUACUCGAGUGGCGAACGGGUGAGUAGCACGUGGGUGAUCUGCCCUGCACUUCGGGAUAAGCCUGGGAAACUGGGUCUAAUACCGGAUAGGAGCCAUUUUUAGUGUGAUGGUUGGAAAGUUUUUUCGGUGUAGGAUGAGCUCGCGGCCUAUCAGCUUGUUGGUGGGGUAAUGGCCUACCAAGGCGGCGACGGGUAGCCGGCCUGAGAGGGUGGACGGCCACAUUGGGACUGAGAUACGGCCCAGACUCCUACGGGAGGCAGCAGUGGGGAAUAUUGCACAAUGGGCGCAAGCCUGAUGCAGCGACGCCGCGGGGGGGAUGACGGCCUUCGGGUUGUAAACUCCUUUCGCUAGGGACGAAGCUUUUUGUGACGGUACCUAGAUAAGAAGCACCGGCUAACUACGUG